rnacentral:misc_RNA from 1 species
GUUCUAGAACUCAUAUACAAGACAGCCAUAAGUCGAUUAAUCUGAUUAAAACUCUUCUCCCAAUUUCUUUUACUCAUACUCUUAAGGGAAGCUAACAAUAUUGCAGAUCAUUUGGCAAAAGUAGGCAGUUGCACAAGAGGAUUAUAUAGCCUUCUUAUAAAUGGUGUUUUGUCCCUCAUUAGUAUUUCAUGAUCCUGCUUAUGUUUGAAUUUUGUCGGUUUUUUCCUUUAUUGGUUUCAGCUGGUGAGUUGCUUUGAAGCCUUGAACCCUUACACAUUGCUCUUCUGCACUUAUGUUGCAAUGCAUUUUGGAUUUGCCAUGUUUUGUUUUGGUUUUGUGAUUUUAGGUUAUCUUACUGUUUUCUCGAUUAGUAUGGUUAUAACCCUUUGCUUUGGUGUUUUGUUUGGACCUUUUUUUUUU